CGCCCCCACUUCCCCACCGCCGCUCUCCACCUUCUCUCCCUCUCUCCCUUCUGGAUCCACCGCCGCCGCACACCACUCCUUCUGGAUCCCCCGCCGCCGCCCCCAAUCUCACUCCCUCCCACCGCCGCCGCUGUCCUUCAUCCUCUCCCCCAACCCCGGUCGCCGACAACCCCUCCCCUCCCCUUCUCUCCCACGGCCGCGGUCGGAUCCGCGCUCGUCCCUUCCAGAUCGUAGCCGCCACCUCCUCCCUUCCAGAUCGAGGCUGCCACCUCCCUCCGGCCGCUGCACCGUUGCACCGCUCCGCCCUGCCCGCCUGCUCUGCCUGCCCGACUGCUGCGCCGGCCAUGGCGUACCAGUACCACCACCAGGACCACGCCGCGGCCGCGCUGGGGAUGGACCCGGCGGCGGCGGGGAACCCCGGCGGCGGCUUCGCGCCAGGCCUGGGUGCAGGCGCGCCCGGCGGGUGGGAGAGGGAGAAGGCGGCCAUCGAGGUGCACCCGCUGUACGAGCGGCUGCUGGAGGUGCACGUCGCCUGCCUGCGUGUCGCCACCCCCGUCGACCAGCUCCCCCGCAUCGACGCACAGAUCGCCGCGCGCGCCCCGCCGCCCAUGCCCCCCGCCGCCGCGCCCUCCGGCGGCGGGGAGCUCAACCUCUUCAUGGUACUUGUGGUGAGAAGCAACCUCCGGCUGAUCGUCAGGGUCAUGGCGCCCCCUCACCCCGUGCAUUUGGCGGCUCGCAACGGGGACUUGGAUUGCAUCCGGAAGCUGCUUGCGUGGGGAGCUGAUCGGCUCCAAAGGGACUCUGCUGGGGGAGAACUAGAUCCCUGCCAUGAAGCUCAAGGUGAAGAAGGCCAUCGAGAAGGGCAACGCCGAUGGCGCCCAGAUAUAUGCCGAGAACGCCAUCCGCAAGUGCACCGAGCACAUGAACUACCUCCGCCUCGCCCUAUACGCCCAUGAGUGAUAUAUACUACUUGCCUGCUGCUGUAUCAUAUUGCUUACUUUUUUACAUCAGAUCAACUAUGAAGAGAAUUGGUGGUGGUUAGGGUGUUCUGGUGCUUAUGUAAUCUUCUUUCAGGCCUUUUGAGAUAGAGUUCUUUAGCUGACAAGUUUAGCAAAUGCUGUAGUGCUUAUGGUUUAGUUUUACACUUGUGUAAAAAUGAAUGGCUGCUACUGUUUCUAGUUUUAGGUUGGGAUGAGAUGCAUGUUUGCAUGCUUGUGCUUCUGUCACUACAAUCUAUACUACUGCUAUUGUCAUAUCCUGGUUGUUUUGUUGCUAUCAAUAUCUGUCCCAUGUUUUGUUUCCUUGCAUGCUUACUACUACAAUCUAUACUACUAUUAUGCCAGAUGUUCACAUGUUAAUUUUUGUUGACUAAAAUCUCUUAUGCCGUUGACUUAGCUUGACCUAGAACAGCAACAUCCUUGAUGCGACUAACCUUCACCUCGUUCUUUCCCUCGCAGACUCGAAGGAGGCCGUAUGCAAGGCACCAAGGUGCAUGGUGCUCGCAAGCGACGAACGGAGGCUGUUCGACAUCGGCUACAACCAUGCUCUGUUUCAUGGGAGCUCCAGGUCUAUGGAAUUUGAAGUUCAAAGCUGUAUAGCCCUACUCAGCAAAGAGUUGUCUCUAUGUUUGACUAUAAUAGACUGUAAAUAAUGUAAUAUUGUAACAGUAGGCAUAUUGGGGUUGUAAUAGACUAUCUACAGAUUGUAGUAGACGUAGUGUUACUUGAUGAACAAUCUGAUGAGUGAGAACAAUUUAAGAUGCACCUUUGUAAUAUUGUAACAGAUUGUAAAAUACUAGUGUAUGUUUGAAAUAGUGAUUAUGUAUGUUGAAAAAAUGUGAAAUGGAAACUUGACCAGUGGGAACCACUUGUGAAUAAAA